rnacentral:rRNA from 1 species
GUUAAAAAGCUCGUAGUUGGAUUUCGGAGUGGGCCAGAUGGUCCGCCGCAAGGUGUGUUACUGACUGGUUUGCUCUUCUUCGCAAAGACUGCGUGUGCUCUUUGUUGAGUGUGCGUAGAUUUACGACGUUUACUUUGAAAAAAUUAGAGUGUUCAAAGCAGGCUAUUGCUUGAAUACAUGAGCAUGGAAUAAUGGAAUAGGACUUUGGUCCCAUUUUGUUGGUUUCUAGGACCGAAGUAAUGAUUAAGAGGGACAAUUGGGGGCAUCCGUAUUUCGUUGUCAGAGGUGAAAUUCUUGGAUUUACGAAAGACGAACAACUGCGAAAGCACUUGCCAAGAGUGUUUUCAUUAAUCAUGAACGAAAGUUAGAGGAUCGAAGACGAUCAGAUACCGUCCUAGUUCUAACCAUAAACGAUGUCGACUAGGGAUCAGCGGGCGUUAUCGUACGACCCCGUUGG